AGAGUUUGAUCCUGGCUCAGGACGAACGCUGGCGGCGUGCUUAACACAUGCAAGUCGAGCGGGCGUAGCAAUACGUCAGCGGCAGACGGGUGAGUAACGCGUGGGAACAUACCUUUUGGUUCGGAACAGCACAGGGAAACUUGUGCUAAUACCGGAUAAGCCCUUACGGGGAAAGAUUUAUCGCCGAAAGAUUGGCCCGCGUCUGAUUAGCUAGUUGGUGAGGUAACGGCUCACCAAGGCGACGAUCAGUAGCUGGUCUGAGAGGAUGAUCAGCCACAUUGGGACUGAGACACGGCCCAAACUCCUACGGGAGGCAGCAGUGGGGAAUAUUGGACAAUGGGGGCAACCCUGAUCCAGCCAUGCCGCGUGAGUGAUGAAGGCCCUAGGGUUGUAAAGCUCUUUUGUGCGGGAAGAUAAUGACGGUACCGCAAGAAUAAGCCCCGGCUAACUUCGUGCCAGCAGCCGCGGUAAUACGAAGGGGGCUAGCGUUGCUCGGAAUCACUGGGCGUAAAGGGUGCGUAGGCGGGUCUUUAAGUCAGGGGUGAAAUCCUGGAGCUCAACUCCAGAACUGCCUUUGAUACUGAAGAUCUUGAGUUCGGGAGAGGUGAGUGGAACUGCGAGUGUAGAGGUGAAAUUCGUAGAUAUUCGCAAGAACACCAGUGGCGAAGGCGGCUCACUGGCCCGAUACUGACGCUGAGGCACGAAAGCGUGGGGAGCAAACAGGAUUAGAUACCCUAGUAGUCC
rnacentral:rRNA from 1 species